UGGCACAGUUGGUAGAGCAUGGUGUUUGCAAUGCCAGGGUUGUGGGUUCAAUUCCCAC
rnacentral:tRNA from 1 species